AUGGCUGUCGUCAGCUCGUGCCGUGAGGUGUUUGGUUAAGUCCAGCAACGAGCGCAACCCUUAUCAUUAGUUGCCAACACGUAGUGGUGGGAACUCUAAUGAGACUGCCUGGGUUAACCAGGAGGAAGGUGAGGAUGACGUCAAGUCCGCAUGGCCCUUAUGACUGGGGCUACACACGUGCUACAAUGGUCGGUACAAAAGGCAGCAAAGCCGCGAGGUAGAGCAAAUCCCAAAAGCCGAUCUCAGUUCAGAUUGUAGUCUGCAACUCGACUACAUGAAGACGGAAUUGCUAGUAAUGGCAGGUCAGCAACACUGCCGUGAAUACGUUCCCGGGUCUUGUACACACCGCCCGUCACAUCAUGGGAGUUGGUUUCACCCGAAGCCGCUGACUCAACCGCAAGGGGAGACGCGUCUAAGGUGAGGCCGAUGACUGGGAUGAAGUCGUAACAAGGUAGCCCUACCGGAAGGUGGGGCUGGAUCACCUCCUUUAAAGGACAGUUCAUGAUGUUUACUUCGGUAAACCACUCAUGUAACUAGGUUGGGUGAGCUCUAUUGGCCUGCAUAUUGUCUUCCUCAUACUGUUAAAUCAGCUUUACGAAUAGAGCAAUCUGUUCAAGUUAUCUUACAGGCAAAUGAUUGAUAAAAAUCAAGUAAAUCCAAAAAAAAGAAUUUUAGUUGUAAAACUAGAAUUCAGCGGAGAUUAAGUUAACUAUCGCAAGAUAAUUAACACAGUAUUAAUGUUCGAAGAUUGAAAACGGACUAACACGUCGUUAGUCUGAACGAUUUCUUCCCUACAAUAAGUAAUCACUGAUAAAAAUCGACGCUUGAGGAAAAUAUUCUUAAUUUCAAAUGGCGAAAAUAAUUAAUUUUAGACGUAGCUCAUAUAUUUUUAGUUUGUGAUCAAAAAUUUUGGUCAAGCUAUUAAGGGCUGCUGGUGGAUGCCUAGGCAUCAAUAGGCGAUGAAGGACGCGUAUACCUGCGAUAAGCUUCGGUGAGCUGGAAGAAAGCAUUGACCCGAAGAUCUCCGAAUGGGGAAACCCGG
rnacentral:sRNA from 1 species